rnacentral:rRNA from 1 species
UACGACUACAUAUCAGGCAUAUCAAUAAGCGGAGGAAAAGAAACUAACAAGGAUUCCCUUAGUAACGGCGAGUGAAGCGGGAAGAGCUCAAAUUUGAAAUCCUUCAAGGUUCUACCUUGACGAAUUGUAGUUUAAAGAAGUGUUUUCUGUUAGAUGAGUAGCAAAAGUUCCUUGGAAUGGGACAUCAUAGAGGGUGAGAAUCCCGUAUUUGGUUAUUCAUUCUAGCUUUGUGAUACACUUUCAAAGAGUCGGAUUGUUUGGGAAUGCAGUCCAAAAUGGGUGGUAAAUUUCAUCUAAAGCUAAAUAUUGGCGAGAGACCGAUAGCGAACAAGUACCGUGAGGGAAAGAUGAAAAGAACUUUGAAAAGAGAGUUAAACAGUACGUGAAAUUGUCAAAAGGGAAGCGUUUGACACCAGUGUUGUUUUUCCGAAAAUCAAUUACGAAUGGCUUGAUUUUGUGUUGUAUUGGACUUAUCAGCUUUCUUCACUUUUUUCGAGUCCUUCUUAAUGCACUUUUCGGUUAACAAGUCAACAUCAAUUUCUUUUGUUGUAAAAGAGUAUUCGGAAGGUGGCUUUCUUUUCGGAGAAAGUGUUUAUAGCCCUAUACUUCUACAAUCGGAGAGAUUGAGGUCUGCAGCGUAGAUCCUUCGGGGUUAGAUACACUUGUGCUAAGUUGUAGCUUUUCAUAGACAACUUGUUGACUAUGUUUAGUCAUGCGGCUUACUCGCUUGUGCUAUUUUACCUACGCUUAGGAUGUUGAGUAGCGACAUACGCAC